AUUGAACGCUGGCGGCAUGCUUUACACAUGCAAGUCGAGCGGCAGCGCGGCCUUCGGGCUGGCGGCGAGCGGCGAACGGGUGAGUAAUGCAUCGGAACAUGCCCAGUCGUGGGGGAUAACACUUCGAAAGAAGUGCUAAUACCGCAUACGUCCUGAGGGGGAAAGCGGGGGAUCGCAAGACCUCGCGCGAUUGGAGUGGCCGAUGUCAGAUUAGCUAGUUGGUGGGGUAAAGGCCUACCAAGGCGACGAUCUGUAGCUGGUCUGAGAGGAUGACCAGCCACACUGGGACUGAGACACGGCCCAGACUCCUACGGGAGGCAGCAGUGGGGAAUUUUGGACAAUGGGGGCAAGCCUGAUCCAGCCAUGCCGCGUGAGUGAAGAAGGCCUUCGGGUUGUAAAGCUCUUUCGGCAGGAACGAAACGAUGGGCUCUAACAUAGUCCGCUAAUGACGGUACCUGAAGAAGAAGCACCGGCUAACUACGUG
rnacentral:rRNA from 1 species